rnacentral:rRNA from 1 species
UAGUCCACGCCGUAAACGAUGGUCACUAGCUGUUCGGACUUCGGUCUGAGUGGCUAAGCGAAAGUGAUAAGUGACCCACCUGGGGAGUACGUUCGCAAGAAUGAAACUCAAAGGAAUUGACGGGGGCCCGCACAAGCGGUGGAGCAUGUGGUUUAAUUCGAUGAUACGCGAGGAACCUUACCAGGGCUUAAAUGUAGGAUGCAUAGAGUAGAGAUAUUCUUUUCUUCGGACUUCUUACAAGGUGCUGCAUGGUUGUCGUCAGCUCGUGCCGUGAGGUGUCAGGUUAAGUCCUAUAACGAGCGCAACCCCUACCGUUAGUUGCCAGCAUGUAAAGAUGGGGACUCUAACGGGACUGCCGGUGCAAACCGUGAGGAAGGUGGGGACGACGUCAAAUCAUCACGGCCCUUACGUCCUGGGCCACACACGUGCUACAAUGGCCGGUACAGAGGGAAGCCACCACGCAAGUGGGCGCGGAUCUAUAAAACCGGUCACAGUUCGGAUCGGGGUCUGCAACUCGA